UGCAAGUCGAACGCUCACCUUCGGGUGGGAGUGGCAGACGGGUGAGUAACACGUGGGAACGUACCCUUUGGUUCGGGACAACUCUGGGAAACUGGAGCUAAUACCGGAUACGCCCUUUUGGGGAAAGGUUUACUGCCGAAGGAUCGGCCCGCGUCUGAUUAGCUAGUUGGUGGGGUAACGGCCUACCAAGGCGACGAUCAGUAGCUGGUCUGAGAGGAUGAUCAGCCACACUGGGACUGAGACACGGCCCAGACUCCUACGGGAGGCAGCAGUGGGGAAUAUUGGACAAUGGGCGCAAGCCUGAUCCAGCCAUGCCGCGUGAGUGAUGAAGGCCUUAGGGUUGUAAAGCUCUUUUAUCCGGGACGAUAAUGACGGUACCGGAGGAAUAAGCCCCGGCUAGCUUCGUGCCAGCAGCCGCGGUAAUACGAAGGGGGCUAGCGUUGCUCGGAAUCACUGGGCGUAAAGGGCGCGUAGGCGGCGUUUUAAGUCGGGGGUGAAAGCCUGUGGCUCAACCACAGAAUGGCCUUCGAUACUGGGACGCUUGAGUCUGGUAGAGGUUGGUGGAACUGCGAGUGUAGAGGUGAAAUUCGUAGAUAUUCGCAAGAACACCGGUGGCGAAGGCGGCCAACUGGACCGGCACUGACGCUGAGGCGCGAAAGCGUGGGGAGCAAACAGGAUUAGAUACCCUGUA
rnacentral:rRNA from 1 species